UUAUGUAGGAAAAUAUUGGAGUCAAAGUGGUUGCCUAGGGUAUAAUUGGUGGGUACCACUCAUAUGUUAGGGUAUGAUUUGGGUGGGUAGUCGUACCCACCUGCAGGAAUUCUAUUACAGUUUAAGUUGGGGGUAUUCUGGACAUUUCCCCUCUUAACCUAUCAUUAUCCCACAUACUAAAACACUAUUGUGACUUCAUUUACCCUAUUUUAUAAUCAUAAACACUUAAAAACUC
rnacentral:lncRNA from 1 species